GGCCUCAUCGGCCAGAAGGGAUUCCUUCCGGUCGAUGAGGCUGUUCCACCUCAUUGAUCGGAAGGAAUUCCUUCCGGUCGAUGGGGUU
rnacentral:miRNA from 1 species